AGAGUGAUAUAAGGAUAACCUGAAGUGCUCCAAGGGUUGUUCAGAGCCCAAGGAAUGCAGUGAAAGAGGUUUGAAGGAAAAGAAGAGCUGGCUUCCACUUACUGUUUAUACACAUGCAGCAAGAAUUGGUACCUUGUAAGGUCAAUAGUGUCUGAAGAGGAAGUGGAUGAAAGGAGAAGGAGAAUGCCCGAGAAAGUAUCUGGAGGAAAGAAGGAAACAAUAAAUGAAGCUCCCCUCUUCUCACUGCAGGAGAAUUCUGGCCUCAAUAAACUCUGGUCAAGCACUACAGACAGAAAAACUGCUCUAAAGAUUUGUAUCAGCGAGGAAUACAAAGCAGAAGAACCACCACAUAUUCUUAUUUGCUUCAGUGGAUCAAGUUGCUUCUCCCCUCAAUGCCAUCGUUAUGGUUUGUGUAUUUUAAGAAGUGAGACGCAAUAUUAUCCUGG